rnacentral:rRNA from 1 species
CAGUAGCCGCGGGAAUACGUAGGUGGCAAGCGUUGUCCGGAAUUAUUGGGCGUAAAGCGCGCGCAGGCGGUUUCUUAAGUCUGAUGUGAAAGCCCCCGGCUUAACCGGGGAGGGUCAUUGGAAACUGGGAGACUUAGAGUGCAGAAGAGGAGAGUGGAAUUCCAUGUGUAGCGGUGAAAUGCGUAGAUAUAUGGAGGAACACCAGUGGCGAAGGCGACUCUCUGGUCCGUAACUGACGCUGAGGCGCGAAAGCGUGGGGAGCAAACAGGAUUAGAUACCCCUGUAGUCCCUGUCUCUUAUA